rnacentral:rRNA from 1 species
CCUACGGGAGGCAGCAGUGGGGAAUAUUGGGCAAUGGGCGCACGCCUGACCCAGCAACGCCGCGUGAAGGAAGACGGCUUUCGGGUUGUAAACUUCUUUUCUCAGGGACGAAGCAAGUGACGGUACCUGCGGAAUAAGCCACGGCUAACUACGUGCCCGCAGCCGCGGUAAUACGUAGGUGGCAAGCGUUAUCCGGAUUUACUGGGUGUAAAGGGCGUGUAGGCGGGACUGCAAGUCAGAUGUGAAAACCACGGGCUCAACCUGUGGACUGAAUUUGAAACUGUAGUUCUUGAGUACUGGAGAGGCAGACGGAAUUCCUAGUGUAGCGGUGAAAUGCGUAGAUAUUAGGAGGAACACCAGGGGCGAAGGCGGUCUGCUGGACAGCAACUGACGCUGAGGCGCGAAAGCGUGGGGAGCAAACAGGAUUAGAUACCCCGGUAGUC